rnacentral:rRNA from 1 species
GAUGAACGCUGGCGGCGUGCCUAAUACAUGCAAGUCGAGCGAACAGACGAGGAGCUUGCUCCUCUGACGUUAGCGGCGGACGGGUGAGUAACACGUGGAUAACCUACCUAUAAGACUGGGAUAACUUCGGGAAACCGGAGCUAAUACCGGAUAACAUGUUGAACCGCAUGGUUCAACAGUGAAAGACGGUCUUGCUGUCACUUAUAGAUGGAUCCGCGCCGCAUUAGCUAGUUGGUAAGGUAACGGCUUACCAAGGCAACGAUGCGUAGCCGACCUGAGAGGGGUAUCGGCCACACUGGAACUGAGACACGGUCCAGACUCCUACGAGAGGCAGCAGUAGGGAAUCUUCCGCAAUGGGCGAAAGCCUGACGGAGCAACGCCGCGUGAGUGAAGAAGGUCUUCGGAUCGUAAAACUCUGUUAUUAGGGAAGAACAAAUGUGUAAGUAACUAUGCACGUCUUGACGGUACCGAAUCAGAAAGCCACGGCUAACUACGUG